AUUGAACGCUAGCGGGAUGCUUUACACAUGCAAGUCGAACGGCAGCGCGGACUUCGGUCUGGCGGCGAGUGGCGAACGGGUGAGUAAUGUAUCGGAACGUGCCCAGUAGCGGGGGAUAACUACGCGAAAGCGUAGCUAAUACCGCAUACGCCCUACGGGGGAAAGCAGGGGAUCGUAAGACCUUGCACUAUUGGAGCGGCCGAUAUCGGAUUAGCUAGUUGGUGAGGUAACGGCUCACCAAGGCGACGAUCCGUAGCUGGUUUGAGAGGACGACCAGCCACACUGGGACUGAGACACGGCCCAGACUACUACGGGAGGCAGCAGUGGGGAAUUUUGGACAAUGGGGGCAACCCUGAUCCAGCCAUCCCGCGUGUGCGAUGAAGGCCUUCGGGUUGUAAAGCACUUUUGGCAGGAAAGAAACGUCGCGGGCUAAUACCCCGUGGAACUGACGGUACCUGCAGAAUAAGCACCGGCUAACUACGUG
rnacentral:rRNA from 1 species